rnacentral:rRNA from 1 species
AUCGAACGCUGGCGGCAGGCCUAACACAUGCAAGUCGAGCGCGCGGCGGACGGGAGAGCAAUGUUUGGGGACUGCCCGAUAGAGGGGGACAACUACUGGAAACGGUAGCUAAUACCGCAUACUAUCGGAUAACCUAUAUGGGAUUAGCUAGUAGGUGUGGUAAUGGCUCACCUAGGCGACUAACCCUAGCUGGUCUGAGAGGAUGAUCAGCCAAACUGGGACGGAUACACGGCCCAGAAUCCAACGGAGGCCGCAGUGGGGAAUAUUGCACAAUGGGCGAAAGCCGGAUGCAGCCAUGCCGCGUGUAUGAAGAAGGCCCUAGGGUUGUAAAGUACUUUCAGUCGGGAGGCGUUACCGACAGAAGAAGCACCGGCUAACUCCGUGCCAGCAGCCGCGGUAAUUC